rnacentral:lncRNA from 1 species
UGCUUUUAUUCCUUGCAGAACUCUGGAAGGAAUCCAGUAGAGGCCAUCACGCCCUUAGGUAAAUUUAUUAUGGUAUAAAUUGUAAUCGCAGUGACAGAAAUCUUAAUCAUUUUUUUCCAAUGGCAUAAGGCUUUACAACUUUUUUUAAAAUAUUUUUUUAUUAUACUUUAAGUUUUAGGGUACAUGUGCACAACGUGCAGGUUUGUUACAUAUGCAUACAUGUGCCAUGUUGGUGUGCUGCCCCCAUUAACUCGUCAUUUACAUUAGGUAUAUCUCCUAAUGCUAUCCCUCCCCCCUCCCCCCACCCCACAACAGGCCCCGGUGUGUGAUGUUUCCCUUCCUGUGCCCAAGUGUUCUCAUUGUUCAAUUCCCACCUAUGAGUGAGAACACACGGUGUUUGGUUGUUUGUCCUUGCGAUAGUUUGCUGAGAAUGAUGGUUUCCAACUUCAUCCGUGUCCCUAUAAACGACAUUAACUCAUCCUUUUUUAUGGCUGCAUAGUAUUCCAUGGUGUAUAUGUGCCACAUUUUCUUAAUCCAGUCUAUCAUUGAUGGACAUUUGGGUUGGUUCCAAGUCUUUGCUAUUGUGAGUAGUGCUGCAAUAAACAUGAGUGUGCAUGUGUCUUUAUAGCAGCAUGAUUUAUAGUCAUUUGGGUAUAUACCCAGUAAUGGGAUGGCUGGGUCAAAUGGAAUUUCUAGUUCUAGAUCCCUGAGGAAUCGCCACACUGUCUUCCACAAUGGUCGAACUAGUUUACAGUCCCACCAACAGUGUAAAAGUGUUCCUAUUUCUCCACAUCCUCUCCAGCACCUAUUGUUUCCUGACUUAUUAAUGAUCGCCAUUCUAACUGGUGUGAGAUGGUAUCUCAUUGUGGUUUUGAUUUGCAUUUCUCUGAUGGCCAGUGAUGAUGAGCAUUUUUUCAUGUGUCUGUUGGCUCCAUAAAUGCCUUCUUCUGAGACGUGUCUGUUCAUAUCCUUCGGCCACUUGUUGAUGGGGUUGUUUGUUUCUUGUAAAUUUGUUUGAGUUCUUUGGGCUUUACAACUUUCAAAGUGAAUUGGAUUUUUACCGUAAGCAAAAUAGAACAGAGGGUUUAUCUCAACCAGAAACAAAUGGAGUGUGUAAAAUUCAGUCUCUCUCUUCAGCCCCAUGCUACUGACUUCUGAAUAGCAUUCCAGCUGUAUUUAUCUGGGGCUUGGGAAAUUUUCUUGGUUCCUGGGAAGAAAGUUAACUAAAACAUAUGACAUCUCUGGCAGCAGUCACAAUUUCACACAAAAAGUUUCUUGCAAUAACUUCACAUAUUGCUUCCCCUGGUGGAAUCACUAUCUCUAGGGAAAGCUUGGGUCUAAAAUGACAACUAUAUUGAAUGAAAGUGAGAGCUGAAUGCUAGAUCCACCAGCUUGUAUCUCUCUAGGAGAAAUCUUCAUCUUAAAAUCACUUUUUAUGGAUGAUGUUAUGACAGAGACAAGUCCUAGAUUUUUUUCUUUUCCUGCUUUUAAAACAUAAAAAUUGUAAAACUUCUCAAGUAGCCAGACGUGGUGACGCAUCUGUAGUCCCAGUUACUCAAGAGGCUGAGGCAGGAGGUUUGAGCUCAGAGGUUCAAAUCCAGCUUGGGCAACAUAGUGAGACCCCCCCAACACACACCAAUCUCAAAACAAACAAAAAGCCUUCUCAAGUAAAAAAAUAAGCAAAUACUGUUACUACUCCAGCUACUCAACAGUGCUCCCUGUAGAUGAAAUACUACAGAGUGUUUGCUAUUUACAGGAAAUUGGAGGUGGGGUGGUUACUGGAAAGUGGGUUGGCAGAGAUUGGUGGUUAUGUGAUUUAAUCCUGAAAUAGACUGGUUAUGAGAAUCAAUGUCUUCAAAUUUCAAAUACUGUCUUGCUUUUGCUUUUGUAUAUAUAUACACACAUAUAUACAUAUAAAUAUAUAUACACACACACACACAAAAGCAAAAGCAAAACAGUUAUUAGCUAUCCUUCCUAGAGAUAGCUAGCAAGGACAGCUAAUCAACUCUUUCAACAUUUCAAGAUUAAAGGAUGAGGAUACCACCUGGGUUUUAAUACGGAGAUGGCUCAAGCCCUUUCCACUGCCAUGUAAAAGAUUUUUAGAUCACAUGUGUUGAUCAUUACAGUGAUGAGAUGGUAUUAAAAUGCUUGACAAAUUGGUCUCCAUGGCAGUGCUUGUAGUCCCAGCUACUCAGAGAGGCUGAGGCAGGAGGAUAAAGUGAGCCCAGGAGUUCGAGUCCAGCCUGGGCAGCAAAGCGAGCUCCUGUCUCUAAAACAAAAUACAGACUUGACAAACACCUACUGAAGGCAAUAUGAUCAUUACUUACAGAAAGGACAGGAUCAGAGCUAGGAGAGUGAAGGACUAGAUUUAUGAAGCUUCAGUCCCUUCUUUACGGGCACUGAAGAGAAACAGUUCAAGUCCUCCAGUUGUCCCAUAGGCUUUGUCAUAUAAGAAUGGAUAAUUUGCUACAAGCUCGAAAUGGCAAAACCAAUUACCUAAUGUUGCUACUGUACUGACUAAUCAUCUUACUCAUGAAACUAUCUACACCUUGCAGAGAACUUUAAGAAAACCACUGGGCAUGGUGGGUCGUGCCUAUAAUCUCAGAAUUUUGGAAGACCAAGGUGGGGGCAUCCCUUGAAGCCAGGAGUUUGAGACCAGCCUAGGCAACACAGCAAGAUACUGUCUCUACAUAAAACAAAAAAUAAGAAAAGUUAGCCAGGCAUGGUGGCUAUGCCUGUAGUCCUAGCUACUUGGGAGGCUGAGGCAGGAGGAUCCUUGCAGUGAGCACUCCAGCCUGGGUGAUGGAGCGAGACCCUGUCUCAAGAAAGAAAGAAAGAAGGGAAGAAAGGAAGAAAGGAAGGAAGGAAGGAAGAAAGGAAGAAAGGAAGGAAGGAAGAAGGAAGGAAGGAAGAAAAAGAAAGAAAGAAAGAAAGAAAGAAAGAAAGAAAGAAAGAAAGAAAGAAAGAAAGAAAAACCUUGCAGUAUACAUUUUCAUAAGCCCAAAAGUUACUUCCUUCCAUUUAUUGCAAGGCUAUAAGAACCCAAAUGUCUGCCUGUUAUGAUUUUAACCAGCACUUUUCUACAAGUGAGUAUGUUCAAGAACCCCUAAAAAGACUGUAAUAAUCAGAUAUCAAGCACCUAUAUGAGGUAGCAGGAGGAAGAAAGAGGCAGUACAAACAACAAUCCACACAUAAUCCAGUAAUGCAAGCUCUGAAAUUCCAACACUUCAUUUCAACUGCUUCCCCCAAAAUUCCAUACCAUGUUCUUGCUUUUGGAUAAAGUCAGUGACAAGAAACGAGAUGGUCAUACAGCAGCAGCAAAAAUAUAAUCAGGAAAUAUAAUGACUUUGUAAUAUCCCUGUGCGAAAGAAAUAAACCUGAGUAGUGAGAGGAACAUGGGUCUUGGAUUAGGAUAUAGAACAAUGUUUAAACCCUGGUUGGCCAGGUAUAAGCUAUGUAAUAACCUUGGGCAAUUCACCUAAUUCCUCUGAGUCUUAAUUUCCUCAUUUCUUAUAUGUGGUAAUUGUGCCUAAUUGAGAAGAUGCACAAUAGAAAUUCAAUAGUAGCUCUAAUUACCAUGCAACAACCUUCCUGGUCCACUGUGUGGGUUUCUUUCAGGCUGUGAGUAAGUGGACAUGGAUUUCUGUAGCUAGUCUCUGCCAGAGGAUAUGAGUAUUUCAAGAAGCAGGAAGGGCUGGAGGUGUGUGAAGGCUCCCCCGCUCCUGCACUUCAUUUGUACACUCUCAUCAUCACUGGAGGAGUCUCCUGGCUGCAGUUGAGCCUUCGAUGAGAUGAUUUGCAUCACUCACAUUCCAAGCUGGGUGGGGGAAGCCCAGACAUUCUCGCUCUGCCCCUCAACCAGCUUGGUGCCAGAUUUCCUCUCGCUUCACCCCCCCAGGAGGUCAUCUAGGGAGCAGGCAUCACACAGUAGCAACAGGCCUUGCGGAUGAUGACAUCAUAGGCUAUUUUGCCCACUCUGUUUAUCUCGCACUGAGAGGCAGGAGAGCACAGUAAGGAGCACAGGUUUUUUGGUUUGGUUUUGUGGGUUUUGUGGGGGUUUUUUGUUUUUUGUUUUUUUUUUUUUUUUUGAGAUAGACUAUCACUCUGUCACCCAGGCUGGAGUGCAGUGGCACGAUCUCAGCUCACUGCAACCUCCACCUCCGGGAUUCAGGUGAUUCUCGUGCCUCAGCCUCCCAAGUAGCUGGGAUUACAGGAGCACACCACCAUGACUGGCUAAUAUUUGCAUUUUUAAUAGAAACAGGGUUUUGCCAUAUUGGCCAGGCUGGUCUCAAACUCCUGACCUCAAGUGAUCCUCCUGCCUUGGCCUUGCAAAGUGCUGUGAUUACAGGCGUGAGCCACUGCACCUGGCAAAGAGCACAGGUUUUGAAGUCAAACAGACCUAUCUUCAAAGUAUGUUUCUGUCCUGUGCCACAUCUAAACCUUAAUUCCCUAAGCUGUAAAAGAUGAUCAAAUAGGCCAGGCACGGUGGCUCACACCUGUAAUCCCAGCACUGUGGGAGGCCGAGGCGGGCAGAUCACCUGAGGUCAGGAGUUCCAGACCAGCCUGGCCAACAUGAUGAAACCCCAUCUCUAUUAAAAAUAAGAAAAUUAGCCGGGCAUGGUGACAUAUGCCUAUAAUCCCAGUUACUCCAGAGGCUGAGGCAGGAGAAUCACUUGAACCUGGGUGGCAGAGGUUGCGGUGAGCUGAGAUUGUGCCACUGCACUCCAGCCUGGAUGACAGAGUAAGACUCCAUCUCGAAAAGAAAAAAAGAAACCCCACUGCCACCUCUGAAAGAUCUUCGGUGAUUUGGGCCAUUCAUUCAUUCCUCAGACUUAACCACCAACUGCACACCACACCCUGGGGAUACGAAUAAGACAUGAACUCCACCUUCAAAACACAUUCAGCCUGCUGAGAGAGAUAUAAACAAACCACAGCAAAUAUAAUGCACAAUAUCAUAUAACAGAGGUAGAGAGAAUGGAGGUCAAAAGGAGAAAGUAAUUGAAAAAAAGGCAAUUUUUGGAAGGCUUCACAGAAGCAGUGACACUAAAGGUAGCAUCUUUUUUUUUUUUUUUUUUUUUUUUUGUGAGGCAGCGUUUCACUCUCUUGCCCAGGCUGGAGUGCAGUGACCCAAUCUCAGCUCACUGCAACCUCCGCCUCCCAGGUUCAAACAAUUCUCCUGUCUCAGCCUCCUAAGUAGCUGGGACUACAGGUGCACGCCACCAUGCCAGCUAAUUUUUGUAUUUUUAGUAGAGAUAGGGUUUUACCAUAUUGGUCAAGCUGGUCUCGAAUUCCUGAUCUCAGGUGAUCCACCCACCUUGGCCUCCCAAAGUGCUGGGAUUACAGGCAUGAGCCACCUCGCCCAGCCUAAAGCUAGCAUCUUAAAUGUAGAUGAAAAUCUGUGAUGUUCAGUAUGUUCACUCUACUUUUUUUUUCAAAAGAUGAAUUACCUUUUCAUUAAUGUUUCCCUUUUUUUUUUUUUUUUGAGCUGGAGUCUUGCUCUGUUGCCCAAGCUGGCGUACAAUGGCGUGAUCUCAGCUCACCGCAACCUCCGCCUCCCAUGUUCACGUGAUUCUCCUGCCUCAGUCUCCCAAGUGGCUGGGAUUACA